rnacentral:rRNA from 1 species
CCUACGGGAGGCAGCAGUGGGGAAUUUUCCGCAAUGGGCGAAAGCCUGACGGAGCAACGCCGCGUGAGGGAUGAAGGCCUCUGGGCUGUAAACCUCUUUUAUCAAGGAAGAAGAUCUGACGGUACUUGAUGAAUAAGCCACGGCUAAUUCCGUGCCAGCAGCCGCGGUAAUACGGGAGUGGCAAGCGUUAUCCGGAAUUAUUGGGCGUAAAGCGUCCGCAGGCGGUCUUGUAAGUCUGUCGUUAAAGCGUGGAGCUUAACUCCAUUUCGGCGGUGGAAACUACAAGACUAGAGUGUGGUAGGGGCAGAGGGAAUUCCCGGUGUAGCGGUGAAAUGCGUAGAUAUCGGGAAGAACACCAGUGGCGAAGGCGCUCUGCUGGGCCAUAACUGACGCUCAUGGACGAAAGCUAGGGGAGCGAAAGGGAUUAGAUACCCCUGUAGUCCUAGCCGUAAACGAUGAACACUAGGUGUCGGGGGAAUCGACCCCCUCGGUGUCGUAGCUAACGCGUUAAGUGUUCCGCCUGGGGAGUACGCACGCAAGUGUGAAACUCAAAUGGAUUGACGG